CCUACGGGUGGCAGCAGUGAGGAAUAUUGGUCAAUGGACGCAAGUCUGAACCAGCCAUGCCGCGUGCAGGAAGACGGCUCUAUGAGUUGUAACCUGCUUUUGUACGAGGGUAAACGCAGAUACGCGUAUCUGUCUGACAGCAUCGUACGACUAAGGAUCGGCUAACUCCGUGCCAGCAGCCGCAGUAAUACCGGGGAUGCAAGCGUUAUCCGGAUUUAUUGGGUUUCAAGGGUGCGUAGGCUGUGAGGUAAGUCAGCGUGGAAAUGCCUCCGGUUAACGGGGUGAAGUGCAAGUGAUACUGCCGGGCUUGAAUGCGGAUGCGGCAGGAGGAAUGUGUGGUGUAGCGGUGAAAUGCAUAGAUAUCACACAGAACACCGAUUGCGAAGGCAUCUUACGAAUCCGCGAUUGACGCUGAUGCACGAAAGCGUGGGUAGCAAACAGGAUUAGAUACCCGAGUAGUC
rnacentral:rRNA from 1 species